rnacentral:rRNA from 1 species
GGCUUACACAUGCAGUCGAGGGGCAGCAUGAACUUAGCUUGCUAAGUUUGAUGGCGACCGGCGCACGGUGUGAGUAACACGUAUCCAACCUGCCGAUGACUCGGGGAUAGCCUUUCGAAAGAAAGAUUAAUACCCGAUGGCAUAGUUCUUCCGCAUGGUGGAACUAUUAAAGAAUUUCGGUCAUCGAUGAGGAUGCGUUCCAUUAGGUUGUUGGCGGGGUAACGGCCCACCAAGCCUUCGAUGGAUAGGGGUUCUGAGAGGAAGGUCCCCCACAUUGGAACUGAGACACGGUCCAAACUCCUACGGGAGGCAGCAGUGAGGAAUAUUGGUCAAUGGACGAGAGUCUGAACCAGCCAAGUAGCGUGAAGGAUGACUGCCCUAUGGGUUGUAAACUUCUUUUAUACGGGAGUAAAGUGAGGCACGCGUGCCUUUUUGUAUGUACCGUAUGAAUAAGGAUCGGCUAACUCCGUGCCAGCAGCCGCGGUAAUACGGAGGAUCCGAGCGUUAUCCGGAUUUAUUGGGUUUAAAGGGAGCGUAGGCGGACGCUUAAGUCAGUUGUGAAAGUUUGCGGCUCAACCGUAAAAUUGCAGUUGAUACUGGGUGUCUUGAGUACAGUAGAGGCAGGCGGAAUUCGUGGUGUAGCGGUGAAAUGCUUAGAUAUCACGAAGAACUCCGAUUGCGAAGGCAGCUUGCUGGACUGUAACUGACGCUGAUGCUCGAAAGUGUGGGUAUCAAACAGGAUUAGAUACCCUGGUAGUCCACACAGUAAACGAUGAAUACUCGCUGUUUGCGAUAUACAGUAAGCGGCCAAGCGAAAGCGUUAAGUAUUCCACCUGGGGAGUACGCCGGCAACGGUGAAACUCAAAGGAAUUGACGG